rnacentral:rRNA from 1 species
CCUACGGGUGGCAGCAGUGAGGAAUAUUGGUCAAUGGGCGCGAGCCUGAACCAGCCAAGUCGCGUGAGGGAAGACGGUCCUAUGGAUUGUAAACCUCUUUUGUCGGGGAGCAAAAGACGCCACGUGUGGCGUUCCGAGAGUACCCGAAGAAAAAGCAUCGGCUAAAUCCGGGCCAGCAGCCGCGGUAAUACGGAGGAUGCGAACGUUAUCCGGAUUUAUUGGGUUUAAAGGGUGCGCAGGCGGAAGAGCAAGUCAGCGGUAAAAUUGAGAGGCUCAACCUCUUCGAGCCGUUGAAACUGGUGUUCUUGAGUGAGCGAGAAGUAUGCGGAAUGCGUGGUGUAGCGGUGAAAUGCAUAGAUAGCACGCAGAACUCCGAUUGCGAAGGCAGCAUACCGGCGCUCAACUGACGCUCAUGCACGAAAGUGUGGGUAUCGAACAGGAUUAGAUACCCGAGUAGUC